rnacentral:rRNA from 1 species
UGGGGAAUCUUGCACAAUGGGGGCAACCCUGAUGCAGCGACGCCGCGUGAGUGAUGAAGCCCUUCGGGGUGUAAAGCUCUUUCGGCAGGGACGAUAAUGACGGUACCUGAAGAAGAAGCUGCGGCUAACUACGUGCCAGCAGCCGCGGUAAUACGUAGGCAGCGAGCGUUGUUCGGAGUUACUGGGCGUAAAGCGUGCGUAGGCGGUGGCCCAAGUCUGGUGUGAAAUCUCCCGGCUUAACUGGGAGGGUGCGCCGGAAACUGGGUUGCUGGAGUACCGGAGAGGCAAGCGGAAUUCCUGGUGUAGCGGUGAAAUGCGUAGAUAUCAGGAGGAACACCCGUGGUGUAGACGGCUUGCUGGACGGUCACUGACGCUGAGGCACGAAAGCGUGGGGAGCAAACAGG